UCGGGAAUUUUGGGCAAUGGGCGAAAGCCUGACCCAGCAACGCCGCGUGAAGGAUGAAGUAUUUCGGUAUGUAAACUUCGAAAGAAUAGGAAGAAUAAAUGACGGUACUAUUUAUAAGGUCCGGCUAACUACGUGCCAGCAGCCGCGGUAAUACGUAGGGACCAAGCGUUGUUCGGAUUUACUGGGCGUAAAGGGCGCGUAGGCGGCAUGACAAGUCACUUGUGAAAUCUCUGGGCUUAACCCAGAACGGCCAAGUGAUACUGUCGCGCUAGAGUGCAGAAGGGGCAAUCGGAAUUCUUGGUGUAGCGGUGAAAUGCGUAGAUAUCAAGAGGAACACCUGAGGUGAAGACGGGUUGCUGGGCUGACACUGACGCUGAGGCGCGAAAGCCAGGGGAGCAAACGGGAUUAGAUACCCGGGUAGUCCCUGAGCGGGCUGGCAAGGCGCAU
rnacentral:rRNA from 1 species